GAUGAACGCUGGCGGCGUGCUUAACACAUGCAAGUCGAACGAAGCAUUUGCGACAGAUUUCUUCGGAUUGAAGUUGCUUAUGACUGAGUGGCGGACGGGUGAGUAACGCGUGGGUAACCUGCCUCAUACAGGGGGAUAGCAGCUGGAAACGGCUGGUAAUACCGCAUAAGCGCACAGUACCGCAUGGUACAGUGUGAAAAACUCCGGUGGUAUGAGAUGGACCCGCGUCUGAUUAGCUUGUUGGCGGGGUAACGGCCCACCAAGGCGACGAUCAGUAGCCGACCUGAGAGGGUGACCGGCCACAUUGGGACUGAGACACGGCCCAGACUCCUACGGGAGGCAGCAGUGGGGAAUAUUGCACAAUGGAGGAAACUCUGAUGCAGCGACGCCGCGUGAGUGAAGAAGUAGUUCGCUAUGUAAAGCUCUAUCAGCAGGGAAGAUAGUGACGGUACCUGACUAAGAAGCUCCGGCUAAAUACGUGCCAGCAGCCGCGGUAAUACGUAUGGAGCAAGCGUUAUCCGGAUUUACUGGGUGUAAAGGGAGUGUAGGUGGCCAGGCAAGUCAGAAGUGAAAGCCCGGGGCUCAACCCCGGGACUGCUUUUGAAACUGCAGGGCUAGAGUGCAGGAGGGGCAAGUGGAAUUCCUAGUGUAGCGGUGAAAUGCGUAGAUAUUAGGAGGAACACCAGUGGCGAAGGCGGCUUGCUGGACUGUAACUGACACUGAGGCUCGAAAGCGUGGGGAGCACACAAGAGUAGAUACCCUGGUAGUCCACGCCGUAA
rnacentral:rRNA from 1 species